GCAGCGAUAGCUCAACUGGCAGAGCAACGGUCUCCAAAACCGUAGGUUGACUGGUUCAAAUCCAUCUCGCUGUGCCA
rnacentral:tRNA from 1 species